rnacentral:rRNA from 1 species
AUUGAACGCUGGCGGAAUGCUUUACACAUGCAAGUCGAACGGCAGCACGGACUUCGGUCUGGUGGCGAGUGGCGAACGGGUGAGUAAUGUAUCGGAACGUGCCCAGUCGUGGGGGAUAACGUAGUGAAAAUUACGCUAAUACCGCAUGCGAUCUAUGGAUGAAAGCGGGGGAUCGCAAGACCUCGCGCGAUUGGAGCGGCCGAUAUCAGAUUAGGUAGUUGGUGGGUAAAGGCCCACCAAGCCAACGAUCUGUAGCUGGUCUGAGAGGACGACCAGCCACACUGGAACUGAGACACGGUCCAGACUCCUACGGGAGGCAGCAGUGGGGAAUUUUGGACAAUGGCGAAAGCCUGAUCCAGCCAUUCCGCGUGCAGGAUGAAGGCCCUCGGGUUGUAAACUGCUUUUGUACAGAACGAAAAGGUUUCUACUAAUACUAGGAGCUCAUGACGGUACUGUAAGAAUAAGCACCGGCUAACUACGUGCCAGCCGCCGCAGUAA